rnacentral:rRNA from 1 species
UCGGGAAUUUUGGACAAUGGGCGAAAGCCUGAUCCAGCCAUGCCGCGUGAGUGACGAAGGUCUUCGGAUUGAAAAGCUCUUUUGGCGGGGACGAUAAUGACGGUACCCGCAGAAUAAGCCCCGGCUAACUUCGUGCCAGCAGCCGCGGUAAUACGAAGGGGGCUAGCGUUGUUCGGAAUUACUGGGCGUAAAGCGCACGUAGGCGGAUUUGUAAGUCAGGGGUGAAAUCCCGGGGCUCAACCUCGGAACUGCCCUUGAUACUGCAAAUCUCGAGUCCGAUAGAGGUGAGUGGAAUUCCUAGUGUAGAGGUGAAAUUCGUAGAUAUUAGGAAGAACACCAGUGGCGAAGGCGGCUCACUGGAUCGGUACUGACGCUGAGGUGCGAAAGCGUGGGGAGCAAACAGGAUUAGAUACCCUCGUAGUCCCUGAGCGGGCUGGCAAGGCGCAU